rnacentral:misc_RNA from 1 species
CCCUAGCGCAUAUCGUUGACGAGAGCUCAUCCUACGCACGCGCCUACUCCUUCUUUCUUCAUCUUUUUUCAUAGUUCCCUUUGCUGAACCCGUGCCGCGUCUCUCCAGCGGUGCGCUGCAGGGCGAUGAUCGCGCCCUUCUCUCUCGCGCUGUGCGCGCUGUUCUUCAUCGCGGUGUCCAGGGCCCAGGAUGUAGAGCAGCUCGUCCCAAACAGUACGAGUCAGUGCUACCCUAGCAUCGAUCUCGGCUGGUCAGCGCAUGUGGGCAGCAGUGUAUACGCCACGCCGCGCAUCGUGGAUUUGGCGCACGACGGCCACAAGGAAGUGCUCAUCCCCACCUUCUCUCAGUUCCUGGAGGCACUGGACGGCCCCACCGGGGAAGACAUCCCGGGCUUUCCGUUCAUGCAUCCCCGCAUGAAAACGUACGCGAGCCCGCUUCCCGUCGACCUCAACGGCGAUGGUCAGGUUGACUGGCUGGUUGCACUGUACAGCGGGGAGCUCGUCGUAUUCGGCCAGGAUGGCAAGGUUCAGGGCUACCUGCAGGUGCCUCCGCUGGCCAUGAAGAGGAACUGGGUGAAGGACAACCUGCCACCUCAGCAAGCGGCCACCGUGCGCCCCGGCACACCGCUGAAAACUGGAACCGUUCUCGAGGACAUCUUGAAAGCGCGCCGCAUGGACGACCUGACACUCACCUCCACGGAGGUACUGGAUCAGCGGCGUCGCAGUUCCAUCGUUCAACGACACCACGCCCCGACGGCGGCGGCUGUGAAAAGCGUUGAAUAUGACACUCAUCCAAAGGGCGCGGAGUUGCGCGCGACCGAGGACAAGCCGGACCAGUGGAACGGCGAUGACGCGUUGGACAUUGAUGACGACGAGAUGGAGCUGCCAUGGGAGAAGGCGGAGGUGGAGGUGGGACCAAACAGCCACCUCAGUCCGGAGGCGCGCGCCUCUCUCGAUCUUCUCUUUCAUCCAGAGCUUUACCAGACGGCGAAGCGGGCUACCAGCGCUGACGAGGCAACCUUCGAGGGCCGCAAUCUGCGGCAGGCAACGAGCAUCGCCUUCGGUGAGGAUGAGAUCAAGGUAGAUGCGCACAUCCUCUCCACCCCGGUCGUAACCGAUGUGGACCAGAACGGCGACUUGGACGUCAUUCUGCAUGUCAGCUACUUCUUCGGCGAAGACGUUAUCGCGGAGCAGCCGGAGCGGUUCGCCGGCGGAGUUGACCCUCACGACUUCGUCGCCACGGCGGUCGUGUGCCUUAACCUUGUCACAGGCGAAACGCGAUGGGCUCGCUUGCUGCACGCCUCUACCAAGAACAGCACCAACGCCGCCUACGCCCUGAGCACCCCGCUCGUCAUCAACGCCGACGAGGACCGCUCCAUGGAGGUGUUUGUCAGCACCUCUCUCGGCUUCGUGUUUGGCUUCACCGCGGAUGGGAACACCUUGGAUGGGUGGCCGGUGCUGCUCGGGCCCCUCUCCGCUAGCCCUACAGCGGAGGACAUCACAGGCGACGGCACCCUUGACAUCUGCAUCGGUGACACGGAGGGCAAGGUGCGGUGCUACAAUGCCUCUGGCUCUGUCACGUUGGAGAAAGACGUCAUCGGCGGCGUGGCCGACCGUCUCACCUUCGGCGACGUCGACGGCGAUGGCGUCGUGGACAUCGUCUUUGGCACCACCUCAGGUCUCAUCUACGCCCUGCGCGGCACCGACGGCGCGGUGCUCCCGUCCUUCCCGAUUGUGACAGGCGGUUCUAUUGUGGCACCGGCGCUGCUGCUGAACCUCAACGGCAUGCUGUAUAGCAACGACCUCGAUAUCGUAGUGCCGUCGCACAACGGCCGCGUGUACCUUCUGCGCGGCUCCUCCGGCUGUGUCCAGACGAUCGACAUCGACGAGAAGUCCUCGUCCAUGGUGCUUGCGGACGACGUCCUGGGCAACGGGCAGAUGGAUCUCGUCGUGACCACCAUCAAAGGUGGCGUCUAUGUUUUCCAGACGUCCACACCGUACACCGCCAUGAACGCCUGGCCCAGCAAAACCAAGGGGGUCAAUGGCUUCAGUGCUAGUGGGAACUACAUCGGCAUCGCCAUAUCGCCCAACUUCCGCACCUUCCGCGACAUUCAAGGCGACACGUUCAACGUUGAGUUCACUAUCUACGACUCCCGACCGGUCUCUCCCAAACGCAGCUACACCGUCGAGAUCACCGUCGGCACCCGCAUCCGCCUCUACCGUGAGCGCUUCCACAAACCAGGCACGCACAUUGUGAAGGUGCGUGCACCGCUGGAGAGGAUGUACUCGUCAUUGAACGUGGCCCUCACGCUACCGAACGGGCAGUCCUUCACGGACUCCAUCUCCCUCAGCUUCAAUAUGCACUUUAUGGCGGCCAUCAAGUACACACUCAUUGUGCCCUUCUUGGCCGUGUCAGCAGCGCUCAUGCUCGUGCACAAGCGUCAUGAAAUCAUCGAGCCGGAAGCGGUGCAGUACCUCUUUUAGGGAGGGUUCGGCCCUCGUGCACCACAUGGGUGCGUGAGCAAGUGCGUCUGUCUUGCUGCUGGCGGUGCCGUCGCUGUAACGCCUUGGCGCAUUGCUGACGGGUGCAUCCUUCUUUUCUUCCUCCUUUCCG